AAAUAAAAAUAAUUUCAGUGCAGGCUCAAUCUAGGUGCGGGGGAUUGCACAGGUUUCAUGAGGUAAUGGGGGGUUUGUAGCCCCCAGGGCAGGGGUGAGGUCCAG